CCUCACAGGAGAGCUGGAAACAUGGAGUAUCUGCCUCUGGAGCCACUUGGAAGAGUUUAUACAAGAUGAUUAACCUUUUUGAGUGUUUCCUGUUUCUUGCUUCUCGCUAAUCAUACCCAUGACUCACACUUCGAAAGUCAAAAAGGGCAUCCAUAGUACAGUAUACAGUGCUGCCCAGCUGCACCAGUAACCAACCUUUCCCAGAGUGGACCUCUAAUUUUCCUCACUAAUAUUUUGAUAAAUCAAUGGAUUGUUCUCAUUUACUCACUCAACAUGUAUUCACUGAGUGCCUGUUGUUCUAGGUGCUUGCUAUACUAGAGCUAACAAACAAACUCCAUGCUCUGAAAGAACUUAUAUCCUUCUUGUAGACACUCAAAAGGGCUUUUUUUCAGUCGCUCACUGAUCCAGUGAGUAUUUGCAUAAAUGUCAAGUAUUGUGUUUGCUUUAGCUUUACAGUAAAAUCUAAAUAUAAUCUCAUUCUCUUUACAGGUCUGACCAAAGACCAAUUCCGCCUCUUCCUUAGCUCAGAAUAAUCAUGUUAACAGAAAUGUACUUGCUUAGAAUAUCCUCUGAAGAGAACAAUCUCCUAACCAAGUAUAACACACUGUAAGAUCUUCCCAAAAACCUG